rnacentral:rRNA from 1 species
UACGAAGGGGGGCUAGCGUUGUUCGGAUUUACUGGGCGUAAAGCGCACGUAGGCGGAUCGUUAAGUCAGGGGGUGAAAUCCUGGAGCUCAACUCCAGAACUGCCUUUGAUACUGAGGAUCUUGAGUUCGGGAGAGGUGAGUGGAACUGCGAGUGUAGAGGUGAAAUUCGUAGAUAUUCGCAAGAACACCAGUGGCGAAGGCGGCUCACUGGCCCGAUACUGACGCUGAGGCACGAAAGCGUGGGGAGCAAACAGGG